rnacentral:lncRNA from 1 species
AAUGGAUUUGUUGACAUUUCUAUUUUAAUUACAUUAUGAAGAAGAUAACAUGCGGUGAUUAUGUGACUUUAUGUUUUUUGUUGGAGAAUAUAAUGGACUCUUUAAAAUACCUCAAUGCAAUUACAGCAAUCGAAAUCAUCUUUCAAUAACAUUUCGUGGUAUAGAAUGUUUCAUGUUAAAGAAUUCCUUUGAGGAAGUCGACAUAUU